rnacentral:rRNA from 1 species
CCUACGGGAGGCAGCAGUGGGGAAUAUUGCACAAUGGGCGCAAGCCUGAUGCAGCCAUGCCGCGUGUGUGAAGAAGGCCUUCGGGUUGUAAAGCACUUUCAGCGGGGAGGAAGGCGGUGAGGUUAAUAACCUCAUCGAUUGACGUUACCCGCAGAAGAAGCACCGGCUAACUCCGUGCCAGCAGCCGCGGUAAUACGGAGGGUGCAAGCGUUAAUCGGAAUUACUGGGCGUAAAGCGCACGCAGGCGGUCUGUCAAGUCGGAUGUGAAAUCCCCGGGCUCAACCUGGGAACUGCAUUCGAAACUGGCAGGCUAGAGUCUUGUAGAGGGGGGUAGAAUUCCAGGUGUAGCGGUGAAAUGCGUAGAGAUCUGGAGGAAUACCGGUGGCGAAGGCGGCCCCCUGGACAAAGGCUGACGCUCAGGUGCGAAAGCGUGGGGAGCAAACAGGAUUAGAUACCCCAGUAGUC